GAUGAACGCUGGCGGCGUGCCUAAUACAUGCAAGUCGAGCGAACGGACGAGAAGCUUGCUUCUCUGAUGUUAGCGGCGGACGGGUGAGUACCACGUGGAUAACCUACCUAUAAGACUGGGAUAACUUCGGGAAACCGGAGCUAAUACCGGAUAAUAUUUUGAACCGCAUGGUUCAAAAGUGAAAGACGGUUUUGCUGUCACUUAUGGAUGGAUCCGCGCUGCAUUAGCUAGUUGGUAAGGUAACGGCUUACCAAGGCAACGAUGCAUAGCCGACCUGAGAGGGUGAUCGGCCACACUGGAACUGAGACACGGUCCAGACUCCUACGGGAGGCAGCAGUAGGGAAUCUUCCGCAAUGGGCGAAAGCCUGACGGAGCAACGCCGCGUGAGUGAUGAAGGUCUUCGGAUCGUAAAACUCUGUUAUUAGGGAAGAACAUAUGUGUAAGUAACUGUGCACAUCUUGACGGUACCUAAUCAGAAAGCCACGGCUAACUACGUG
rnacentral:rRNA from 1 species